GUGUCAGCAGCCGCGGUAAUACGUAGGUGGCAAGCGUUGUCCGGAUUUACUGGGCGUAAAGGGAGCGUAGGCGGACUUUUAAGUGAGAUGUGAAAUACCCGAGCUCAACUUGGGUGCUGCAUUUCAAACUGGAAGUCUAGAGUGCAGGAGAGGAGAAGGGAAUUCCUAGUGUAGCGGUGAAAUGCGUAGAGAUUAGGAAGAACACCAGUGGCGAAGGCGCUUCUCUGGACUGUAACUGACGCUGAGGCUCGAAAGCGUGGGGAGCAAACAGGAUUAGAAACCCCGGUAGUCC
rnacentral:rRNA from 1 species